UUUAUGGAGAGUUUGAUCCUGGCUCAGGAUGAACGCUGGCGGCGUGCCUAAUACAUGCAAGUCGAGCGAACGGACGAGAAGCUUGCUUCUCUGAUGUUAGCGGCGGACGGGGGAGUAACACGUGGAUAACCUACCUAUAAGACUGGGAUAACUUCGGGAAACCGGAGCUAAUACCGGAUAAUAUUUUGAACCGCAUGGUUCAAAAG
rnacentral:rRNA from 1 species